GGGGGCGUUCCGGUCUCGACGGGGCAGGCGGACUUCGGGAUAGCGAGCCGAAGGCGUGAGCGUCACAGCGCAGGCAUCACAACUGCCAACAAGAACGAGCAACCGCUCGCACAGCCGCUCGCCCUCGCUGCGUAACUCGUAGAUGAGGACGGGUCCCGGGUAGUUUCCCGGGUGCCGCCCCUGGUUUCGCCGGCGAACCGGGGACCGCGGUAACGAAAAAACAGCCGGCUGGCCUGACCGAGGGUGCUCCGGCCUCGGUCAGGUGAGAGCGCACCGGGGCUGGUCGUCGGGAAUCCCGCCGCCGGGAGCCCUGAUGGCGAGAUCAAAACGGCGGAUACGCUCGUAGAAGUCCCGGGGGCUGGUGCUUCGGACGCGGGUUCGACUCCCGCCGCCUCCACCA
rnacentral:tmRNA from 1 species